GACUUAUUUGUAAAUCUUACUUUGCUGAACAUUAUUGCUGUUUACAGUUUAUCUCUAUCUAUAAUAAUAUUCAAGAUAAUAACCAAAAACAGCAAAAUUUCCUUAAAAUUACCAAUUCAGGGGCAGCAACCCAACAACAGGUUGUCCGAUUCAUCUGAAAAUUUCAGGACAGAUAGAUCUUGACCUGAUAAACACUUUUACCGAUGUUAGAUUUGCUCUAAAUGCUUUGGUUUUUGAGUUAUAAGCCAAAAACUGCAUUUUACCCCUAUGUUCUAUUUUUAGCCAUGGCGGCCAUCUUGGUUGGUUUGCCGGGUCACGCCACACAUUUUUUAAACUAAAUAUCCCAAAGAUGAUUAUGGCCAAGUUUGGAUUAAUUUGGCCCAGUAGUUUCAGAGGAGAAGAUUUUUGUAAAAGAUUACUAAGAUUUACGAAAAAUGGUUAAAAAUUGACUAUAAAGGUCAAUAACUCCUAAAGGGGUCAACUGACCAUUUUGGUCAUGUUGACUUAUUUGUAAAUCUUAUUUUGCUGAACAUUAUUGCUGUUUACAGUUUAUCUCUAUCUAUAAUAAUAUUCAAGAUAAUAGCCAAAAACAGCAAAAAUUCCCAAAAAUUACCAGUUCAGGGGCAGCAACCCAAUAACGGGUUGUCGCAUUCAUUUGAAAAUUUGAGGGCAGAUAGAUCUUGACCUGAUAAACAAUUUUACCCCAUGUCAGAUUUGCUCUAAAUGCUUUGGUUUUUUGAGUUAUAAGCCAAAAACUGCAUUUUACCCCUAUGUUUUAUUUUUAGCUAUGGCGGCCAUCUUGGUUGGAUGGCCAGGUCACCGGACACAUUUUUUAAACUAGAUACCCCAAUGAUGAUUGUAACCAAGUUUGGUGUAAUUUGGCCCAGUAGUUUCAGAGAAGAAGAUUUUUGUAAAAGUUAACGACGACGGACGACGACGGACGACAGACGACGGACGCCGGACGCCAAGUGAUGGGAAAAGCUCACUUGGCCCUUCGGGCCAGGUGAGCUAAAAAA
rnacentral:lncRNA from 1 species